rnacentral:misc_RNA from 1 species
UACGAAGGGUGUAAGCGUUGCCCGGAUUUAUUGGGCGUAAAGUGUUUCGUAGGCGGCAUGGUAAGUUGUUCUUUAAAGACCUCGGCUCAACCGAGGAAAGGGGAGCAAUACUGCCAAGCUUGAAGAAUGUCGGGGUCACUGGAACUGUCGGUGUAGGGGUGAAAUCCGUUGAUAUCGAUAGGAACUCCGAAGGCGUAGGCGGGUGACUAGGCAUUAUUUGACGCUGAUGAACGAAAGCUAGGGGAGCGAAAGGG